rnacentral:snoRNA from 1 species
AAGCCCGUGAUUUGGGCACCUCCUUACUAGCUGCUUGAACCGCUCCCACGUCUCGAAUAACGCUUCACCGGCUUCUUGUAUAAAGUUUGGAAUUUCUCUCCGGAUUCU